rnacentral:lncRNA from 1 species
GGAGAGGGAAUUACACAUCACCUGAUUUUGGAUGCAUGUGUGAGGUAUGCUACUGUACUCACAAGACAUCUGAAACUAUACCCAGAUCAUCUAGAAGUGAACAUGUUCCAGGUGAUGUCCCUAUGUAAACCAAGGGUUGGUUUUCAGUGGGUAGAAAAUGCCCUUCAAACACUGACCCUGUCAUAUUGCAGAUGCCUUCAGGUAAAAAGUCAAUUAACCACUGGUGGGCAAUAUCCAAAAUUGAUAGCAGAAACAGAAAAAUAAAAGACUACUCAGCAAAGACAAGUAGAGUUUCUGGAGGCUGGGAUGUCCAAGGUCAAGAUGCUGACAGAUUGAUUGUCCCUGGAAAGCCUGCUUCAUAGAUGACCAUCUUCUCCGUGUGUUCUCCCUGUGUUCUCAGGAGUGGGGUUACCUUUCUGGUGCCUCUUUUUCAUAAGGACACUAUUCCCGUUCCUGAGGGCUCCAUUCUCAUAACACAACAUCCAGAAGGUCCUACAUUCUAAUAUCAUCAUACUGCAGAUUGGCAUGGUGUGGAUGGAAGUGAAGAAAAAUGUUCCAGGUUGCUUGUGCAAGACUUUCAAAGUGAAAACAAUUGAGAGACUGAUGCAUGGAAAUCACAGAUGAAGAUGAAAAUACCACCUUCAUGGCCAGUCAAGUGUUGAAGAAUGUGAUUUAGAUGCAGCCAACGGUACCUACAAUUACACUCCAACAAAAUGGAACUCACUUCAAACUAAGAGCCCAUUCCAUGGAGGAGAGGAGAAUGAGAAUGUAGAACAGUCAGACAAAGGUAGAGAAAGGAAGAAUCCCAGCCAAUUCUUGAAGCUUAGCUUUAAAUCCAGUUUGUUCCUAAACACUCAGC